rnacentral:rRNA from 1 species
UACGAGGGGGGCAAGCGUUAUUCGGAAUUAUUGGGCGUAAAGGGUGCGUAGGCGGUUUGGUAAGUCUUAUGUGAAAUCUACAGGCUCAACUUGUAGUCUGCAUGAGAAACUGCCGGGCUUGAGUAUGGGAGAGGUGAGUGGAAUUCCUGGUGUAGCGGUGAAAUGCGUAGAUAUCAGGAGGAACACCUGUGGCGAAAGCGGCUCACUGGACCAUAACUGACGCUGAUGCACGAAAGCUAGGGGAGCAAACAGG